CCUCUCUCUCCUCCUCUCUCGCUCGGAUCUACUUUUGCUCUGUCUCUCUCUCUUUCAUUCUAUCUCUCUUAUCUCUUCUCGAUAUUCAUCGGAUUCUCAUAAAUCGAAACAAAAACUGUUGAAUCAAGAAUCAAACCAAACAGUUAUUCUUUUUACGUUCAACUGGUGGAAUCAAUCAAGUUGAUUUAAGUAGAUCCGCGGUUCAAGUUUCGUCUUAUGCUUUAAAAAGUCAAAAAAAUUUCAUUCAAAGAAGACAUCAAUCUGGAGCUCAAGAUCUACAAUGAAUGAUGAAUGGUACGGUUUUAACAAAAGCGAAGUCGGGAGUCAUAAAUGAGGAAGCUGGGAUUCAUAACUCAUGAAGUUUCUAAAUUUUUAAAAAUGAAAGACAGAGUACUCGUUGGGGAGUUACAGAGGGACAUGAGGCAGAAGCGAGUAAACUUAUAGAUCAAGAGUUUCAUGUUUCAACAUUGUGAUGAGGAAAUGGAAGACACGAUAAUCAGUUAGUUCUCAGUGCUCUGCGGAGUAAGAGAGGGACAUUAGACAGAAGCUGAAAAGAAGAAUACAACCUUCACAUGACAGCAGACUUGUAAAUGAGAAUUCAACUGCAUACGAAGACAACAAAAAGGACUGUAAAACAGAGUACUCACUGCAGAGUAAGAGAGGGACAUGAGACAGUAGCUGAAAAGAAGAAUGCAACCUUCACAUGACAGCAGACUUGUAAAUGGUUAGUAAUCACUUAUAUCUUAUUUUCUUUUUGAAUUGAAUAAUCUUUUAUAUAUUUUAAUAAUUUGAUAGGUGUUUUGAAUUUAAGAUAGUCGGUUAGUAGUUUAUUUCAUGAGAAACACUGCCUUAAGUUAAAGUUUGAUACCAAUUGUACUUGCAUUAGUUAAACUAUGAUAAUAGUUUGAUGUUACUUGCAUUUGAUGUUCCUGAUAGUCUUAGAUAAGAAUAGUUUCUGUUAUAAACUGUAGUAGAAUUGGUAGGUUUGACGAAAGAUAAAGAAUAACAAUCUUAAAGGAUAAAAUUUUAGUCUAGAUCCAACAAAUGUUGAUCAUUGGAGAACUUUUUUUAAAUAUUUUAUACAAUCAUACUGUCAUUCUCUAAUUAUUUUUUAUAUAUUACAUGAUCUUGGAUGUUCUCCAAUGUUUGAGGGAAUUCAACGGCAUAAGAAGACAGCAAAAGGGACUGGAAAAAAAUUUACUGUCUGCGGAGUAACAGAAGGAUAUGAGAAAGAAGCUGCAUAAGAAGAGGAACAAAAGUAGUCAUGAUAGACAUUUUUGGGAGGUUUUAGCUUUGAACGAUAUAGUUUGUAGGUGUAGGGGAAGAUGUAUAUAUAGUUAGCGAUGAGAAAGUAGGGUUAACGCGAGAAAAUUUUAUAAAGAUAUUUUUAGUUGUGAUGUUAUCAUUAAAACCGAAUAUACAUAUAUAAUUAUCUUCCUAAAA